UCCUUGGUGGUUCAGUGGUUAAGACUCCACGAUCCCAAUGUAGGUGGUCUGGGUUCGAUUCCUGGUCAGGGAA
rnacentral:tRNA from 1 species